AUGGAAUUGAGGAUCCUUUCCCCAAAUGAUCGAGUAUGAUUAUACUAUGCGCAUGUGUAAUCCUAUUCACUUGAUUUUGUUUCUU
rnacentral:snoRNA from 2 species